GUGCCAGCAGCCGCGGUAAGACAGAGGUGCCAAGCGUUAGGCGGAAUCACUGGGCUUAAAGCGUGUGUAGGCGGAUCGAAAAGUACUUUGUGAAAUCCCACGGCUCAACCGUGGAACUGCUUGGUAUACUGUCGAUCUUGAGCCAUCUAGAGGCAACUGGAACAAACGGUGGAGCGGUGAAAUGCGUAGAUAUCGUUUGGAACGCCAAAGGUGAAAACAGGUUGCUGGGGAUGUGCUGACGCUGAGACACGAAAGCCAGGGGAGCAAACGGGAUUAGAAACCCGAGUAGUCC
rnacentral:rRNA from 1 species